CUCCCCCUAGUCUAGUGCACUAGCUCAUUUCAUCCUCUCCAACUAUUCUCUUACCCUCAGAAACACUGCUCACGGCCUCCCAGAUCUGGUAUCGAAGUGUAGAUACGUCGGCUAUGUCUCUCCGGCCAGCUCAAUCAACUGCGACGGUCCGGCGUCAUGGAGCCACCGGAUCCACCAAAGAAAACGAAUCUCCCAUGUGAGGAGAUUGACACCCAUGGAAACUGCAAAAAAGCAAGGUCUGUCCGACGUCGGUGGGAAGAAGGAGAUGAAAACGGGGCUCAGCUAGACCUAGAUACUACUGCAGGAGGGGGAACGCAGCUCACUAGAUCCAAUGCCUCGACGAGGCCAUAUGAUCACUUCGAUCCACGGGAGGAUAGAUGGAUUGAUGUAGUUGGAGAACCUGGAGGCAUCCUGCAAAAUACAGAAGCGCAACUGGACGCGCUACGAGCAGCUCAGGGGCUAAUUGCAGCUAGCCAACAAUUUCGCACUGCGUCAUUAUAGAGGUCUGGAGAUGAAGCCUAUGUCGACGAAUCAGAAAAAAGCACGCCCGUAUACAACGCGGAUUCAAAAGGAAAAAAAGGUAGUACAAGAAAAUCCAGAUUCGUCGAGUAGCGACAGCGAUGAUGAGCCGGUGGAUCCAAGUGUGCGACUGGAUAGGACACUAAACAGGGCUGAGAUUAGAGGCGAGCCCAUAGCAGCGCCGGCAGCCCCAGGAAGACUGAGGAUAUAUAAUGAUGUUGUAGGCGCGCGUGUUACAGGACCAAGGAGCCUUGGCCGACUUAGGAGGAGGCUCGAGCUAAGAGUGAGCGAUGACGGUGAAGCUGGCAGUAGCAACCCUUUUGCGAGGCUUCAUAAUACAGAGAGGUCAACUUGGCUACGGAGAAGAGGGGAGCAUUUGUGAGCGAAACUGUCUGAAAUUGAGGCGCAAGGAAGUCUGAUCUUGAAUACGCGAGGGAACAUGGGGUCUUGCGGAACAGGAAUGUGCAUGGAAACGAUGUUGGAGAGGACACGUCAAAUAGCUCAAUUUCAGAGGAAUGGAGGGAAUGUGUGCGGAGCUUAUCUACGGUUGCGCUAGCUGCGGUAGAACAAGCAAUGGAAAAACCAGAACUUUUUGAAGGUGCCCGUGUUCGACAUGUCGAUGCUAGCUGCAACUUUGUUAGACAAAAUAGAAGGUAGUUGAGGGAGUCCUGGAUUAGGCGGUGUUCGGAUAGCCGAACUAUAUCUUCAGUCGGACUCCUGGACUAUGAAGAUACAAGAUUGAAGACUCCGUCCCGUGUCCGGAAGGGAUUUUCU